UACGUAGGUGGCAAGCGUUGUCCGGAAUUAUUGGGCGUAAAGGGCGCGUAGGCGGUCCAUUAAGUCAGAUGUGAAAUCCCGAGGCUCAACUUCGGGCGUGCAUUUGAAACUGGAGGACUAGAGUGCAGGAGAGGUAAGUGGAAUUCCUAGUGUAGCGGUGAAAUGCGUAGAUAUUAGGAGGAACACCAGUGGCGAAGGCGACUUACUGGACUGUAACUGACGCUGAGGCGCGAAAGCGUGGGGAGCAAACAGG
rnacentral:rRNA from 1 species